rnacentral:rRNA from 1 species
GAUGAACGCUAGCGGCAGGCUUAACACAUGCAAGUCGAGGGGCAGCGAGGAAGUUGCUUGCAACUUCUGUCGGCGACCGGCGCACGGGUGCGUAACGCGUAUGUAACCUACCUCAAACAGGGGCAUAACACUGAGAAAUUGGUACUAAUUCCCCAUAACACUUAAGGAGGCAUCUCCUUAGGUUGAAAGUUCCGGCGGUUUGAGAUGGACAUGCGUUGUAUUAGCUAGAUGGUGAGGUAACGGCUCACCAUGGCGACGAUACAUAGGGGGACUGAGAGGUUAACCCCCCACAUUGGUACUGAGACACGGACCAAACUCCUACGGGAGGCAGCAGUGAGGAAUAUUGGUCAAUGGGCGAGAGCCUGAACCAGCCAAGUCGCGUGAGGGAAGACGGCCCUACGGGUUGUAAACCUCUUUUGUCAGGGAGCAAAAGGCGGUACGCGUACCGCAAAGGAGAGUACCUGAAGAAAAAGCAUCGGCUAACUCCGUG